AGUGAACGCUGGCGGUAGGCCUAACACAUGCAAGUCGAACGGCAGCACAGUAAGAGCUUGCUCUUACGGGUGGCGAGUGGCGGACGGGUGAGGAAUACAUCGGAAUCUACUUUUUCGUGGGGGAUAACGUAGGGAAACUUACGCUAAUACCGCAUACGCCCUACGGGUGAAAGCAGGGGACUUUCGACCCUGGGGGGUUGGAUUAACCCGAUGUGGGAUUAGUUGGUUGGCGGGGUAAAGGCCAACCAAGGCGACGAUCGGUAGCUGGUCUGAGAGGAUGAUCAGCCACACUGGAACUGAGACACGGUCCAGACUCCUACGGGAGGCAGCAGUGGGGAAUAUUGGACAAUGGGCGCAAGCCUGAUCCAGCCAUACCGCGUGGGUGAAGAAGGCCUUCGGGUUGUAAAGCCCUUUUGUUGGGAAAGAAAAGCAGCAGGUUAAUACCCCGCUGUUCUGACGGUACCCAAAGAAUAAGCACCGGCUAACUUCGUG
rnacentral:rRNA from 1 species